AGCAGACACAUUAUCGAUUAUAAAUCCGUCACAAUUGGGAAACGAUCGAAAGACGAAGAUGUUUAGCGGUUUUCCACUAAAUUCCGGACACACGCCGGAUGUGCAUCCUGCCGUGCAGUAAGGCAAGGAGACGACGAGGCGACAACUUGAAAUCUGUUCCCUUUUAACUGCACUUUCAAUUUUUCCGCCUUUUCGCGUCAGUGCCGAGCGUUUGUACUUCAGGUCAUUAUGCAGAGGUUGUAAACGUGUACAGUGCAGCUGAAAGGGACAGACUUGGGAACGGAGAAAAGGGAUGUGGAAGUAGGGGCGUGAGAGUGCGUGGCGCGUAACAGGGCAUCGAUCGUGAAAGGCGCGGCGAAGACACAAGACAUAGGUUAACCGCAUAUCCAGCUGAACGGAGAUCGAUCCGGAAAUUCGCCAUCGCUUUAGACAGACCUGUGAUACGGUCCGAAACCGGCGAAUCACGCGCAUCCGCUCGCCGUACGUCACGAACCUGUGGAAGAACUUUGCGCACGCAUCGUACUUCUCGCUCGUGCUGUUGCCGCUGUCGUUUGUGGGUGGAUGACGGAAAGGGUUGGAAAAUAUGUAAAUAACGGCCGUGCGCCGUUUCUCCACGGUUCAUACGUAUGUAUGGUCACCCAUCAUGUACUUUUCAACGUGCGCACAGUACAAAAUUUAUCCAAUCUAAGAUGAAAAUGUUGGUUACUUUAGGUUAUUCUGCAUUUUUUUUAAAUAUUCAGCACAAGGAUUAUUAAUCUAAAAUUUAGAUUUUAUGGUGUCGAAAAAUAUAUACAUAUAUACUGUAUAAAAUCAUCGAUAUAAAAAAUAAAAGCUAUGUAAAAUAUCCCUUUCUGUCACAGUGAGUCAAUUUUACAUUAUAGCACAUAUAGAAGUUCAAGGCCAUGAGACGCCUCGAUGACGACAUUCGCCCGCAUUCCCGUUGUAGAUUUAGCACUAAACGCGGCAAGCUCAAACGAGAUUCAUUUAUUAGAAAAGUACUAAUUGCAUUCGUGCCGAAUCGGAAUUAAAAUUUCAGCUGUAUUAUACAACUCUCAGGAUGAUAUAUAAUACACAAAUGCUUCUACGUGAAUACUGUAAGGUAUUUUAGUUAUUAAUAAAAAAAUUAAUCUUUUCAAUUAAAAAUGUGAGAUUUGAAAUUUAACGUGUACAUAAGCUUUUACUGAUGUCCUUUUAAAUUGCUCGCUUUUUAUAGACCGCGCUUCAUUCUUAAAUCGAUUUUGCGAAUCAGCUGAUCUCGAGGAAGAACAAAAACAAUUUGAUUUUAUAAUCAUAGAUGUUUGAAUAUAUUGAUCAUGGAUAUAGUUAGCAAUAUGCUAUCCGUGUUCGUGUAUGUAGUCAAGCGCGAAUAUCUAGGAAUGUGCGUGUGUACAGUACAUAGAUACGUACCAAAUAAGAAUGAUGUCACCGCAUGACGCACGUGGAAUUGGCUAGCCCAAUGCCCGGCCGGCCGAUCCCGAGGAAAUGCGGCCGUUAAUGGAAUUUACGUAUCCGCUGCGCAUCCUGCUUGCGGAGAAACUGUAUCCGUUGAUUAUCAACGCGUGGCGAAUGCGUUAAUCUAACGUCACGAAAACGCCGAUAAACCGCGCUUCCCGCGAUGAAUUAAGGAUCGAAAAACUUUCUAGCGUUGUAAAUAGAAAGUGUACCGUACGAGUAUACUCGGCAUUAUACUUCCAUCCAUCCAAUUCAGUUACGUCUAAAUUAUACACUUGUCGAAAGCACUUUGACAUGAAAAAACAAAAAAAAAAUAAAUAAAAAUCAAUAGAAAUAAACACAGUAAUAAAAUUGUUCUUAGGAAAUAUCUUAAUAUUAAAAAUGAUAAUAUUAUCAAAUAAUUAUCAAAAAUGUUUGAUUUUUUCUUAAUUAUAUAUUAAACUUUCAGAAUGUAAAUAAUUUUUUUCGAUUAUUACAACAAAUUGUAUACAAACAAAUAAAAAAAUCUGAAUAUUCUUCAUUCUUAUUGCAAUGUGUUGACUUUUUUAUAGAGUUAACACAUUGCUUUAUUUUUAAAAUGCAAUGUGUUGAGAAACCAUGUGUGAGCUGUGUAAGGCUGAGAUAUAAAAAGGUUUCAAAAACCUUCAAUGAAGAUAGUUUAAUGUAUGUUUAUAAAAUAGACAGAAAUAUCUAUUUUUAAUACACAUGGUUUACACACACGUACACGCGCGCAAACCAGGAAUAAGAUUAUCAAUAAAAUAUUAAAUAACGAUUCGACAACUUUUUCGAAUCAGUAUAUUUCGCAUUAAUCGAAUUUUUAAUUACUUAUUUAAGACAUAAGAAAUAACAAUGAUCAUUUAUGCAAUAUGAUUUCAAUAAACCACAUCGAUAAAAAGUUGUUAAUAUUGAAACGAAAGUAACGAAGGAUUGCGUCACAGAGACUCGCAAUUGCGUAUACGCAAUUCAGCAUUUAAGUGUGAUUUGAAAACAAUAUUCUGCGUAAAAUGACAUAUUUUUAAAUAUUCACUCAAAUUGUUGCGGCAUUUAAAAAACUUUUUGUAUCAAUGUUGUAUGUAUGCUAUCAAAAAUUGUACAUAGCCAGAGAGAAGAGGAGGACAGGAUACUAGAGGCCCAGAGACACGAUUUUUAAAUCCGUGACUAAUCUAUAAAACAAUUUUUAUGCACAUUAGCGUCACUUUAAACAUAAUGAUAAUAUGAAUUGUCAUUGAAAGCUGUAACUCUUAUCUCGUGGCAUGUUAGAACGCACUGUCCC